CAUGCUUCUUAGAUAAUAAUUGAUGAUGAUGUGAUAGUGAAAUAUUGGUGUUAACUUUGGUUUGUUCGUUGUGAUGUUCAGGAGAUAGUGAUGUCACAGAAAAACCAGUAGACCCGAUUAAAGUUUACUCUGAGAGAUAUGCAGUUGUUCCUGAUGACAACGUCAAAAGGAUAAAUUUUGCCGAGGGGAAGAUCUGAUUCUAGAAGUAAGGAAUUUGCAGCUUGAUUUUUGAAA